CCCCUGCGGUGAUGAUGACGACAUUUCUGUCUUUUUUCUGAAAAUGAUUGAUGUUUUUAAGUCACUACCUCAUCUGAGCUUGUA
ensembl:snoRNA small nucleolar RNA SNORD11B